GAUGAACGCUAGCGGCAGGCUUAACACAUGCAAGUCGAGGGGCAUCGCGGGUAGCAAUACCUGGCGGCGACCGGCGGAAGGGUGCGUAACACGUGAGCAACCUGCCCGUGACAGGGGGAUAAUCGCUGGAAACGGCGUCUAAUAUCCCGUAACAACAUUUUUCGCAUGGGAGAUGUUUGAAAGCUUCGGCGGUCACGGAUGGGCUCGCGGGACAUUAGCUAGACGGCGGGGCAACGGCCCACCGUGGCGACGAUGUCUAGGGGUUCUGAGAGGAAGAUCCCCCACACUGGGACUGAGACACGGCCCAGACUCC
rnacentral:rRNA from 1 species